GAGUUUGAUCGUGGCUCAGGAUGAACGCUGGCGGCGUGCCUAAUACAUGCAAGUCGAGCGAACAGACGAGGAGCUUGCUCCUCUGACGUUAGCGGCGGACGGGUGAGUAACACGUGGAUAACCUACCUAUAAGACUGGGAUAACUUCGGGAAACCGGAGCUAAUACCGAAUAAUAUAUUGAACCGCAUGGUUCAAUAGUGAAAAACGGUUUUGCUGUCACUUAUAGAUGGAUCCGCGCCGCAUUAGCUAGUUGGUAGGGUAACGGCUUACCAAGGCGACGAUGCGUAGCCGACCUGAGAGGGUGAUCGGCCACACUGGAACUGAGACACGGUCCAGACUCCUACGGGAGGCAGCAGUAGGGAAUCUUCCGCAAUGGGCGAAAGCCUGACGGAGCAACGCCGCGUGAGUGAUGAAGGUCUUCGGAUCGUAAAACUCUGUUAUUAGGGAAGAACAAAUGUGUAGUAACUAUGCACGUCUUGACGGUACCUAAUCAGAAAGCCACGGCUAACUACGUGACAGCCGCC
rnacentral:rRNA from 1 species